rnacentral:sRNA from 1 species
UGAUCAAAGUUUCUAAUUAUCAUUAAUAAGAAAGAUAUUACAAAACAGAAAGCAGAGCGUUCUUCGCCAAAAAAUCCGCUUGGCGAUUAAGAGCCCUAAGAAUGAAAUUAAAGGUGCAGACAGUAAAAUUAGAAGAUAGAAGCAGGAUAUCGUGUAGAAUCUCAUGAAGUUCCUUCUGGUGGAUCUUCAAAUUGAGAGUUUGGACUGAAUUCAUCGAAUCUGAAGUGAAGAAGAGGUUUUGAAGUGCCGAUUCCACCGCAACUCUAACAGCGGCGAGAGUUGCCAUUGCUUCGGCUAACAAAGGUGAGCCGACAAAGGAGGUGGAGCCUGAGCCUUCCAAG